AGUGAACGCUGGCGGUAGGCCUAACACAUGCCAGUCGAACGGCAGCACAGUAAGAGCUUGCUCUUACGGGUGGCGAGUGGCGGGCGGGUGAGGAAUACAUCGGAAUCUACUUUUUCGUGGGGGAUAACGUAGGGAAACUUACGCUAAUACCGCAUACGACCUACGGGUGAAAGCAGGGGAACUUCGGACCUUGCGCGAUUGAAUGAGCCGAUGUCGGAUUAGCUAGUUGGCGGGGUAAAGGCCCACCAAGGCGACGAUCCGUAGCUGGUCUGAGAGGAUGAUCAGCCACACUGGAACUGAGACACGGUCCAGACUCCUACGGGAGGCAGCAGUGGGGAAUAUUGGACAAUGGGCGCAAGCCUGAUCCAGCCAUACCGCGUGGGUGAAGAAGGCCUUCGGGUUGUAAAGCCCUUUUGUUGGGAAAGAAAAGCAGCAGGUUAAUACCCCGCUGUUCUGACGGUACCCAAAGAAUAAGCACCGGCUAACUUCGUG
rnacentral:rRNA from 1 species